rnacentral:rRNA from 1 species
UACGUAGGGUCCGAGCGUUGUCCGGAAUUAUUGGGCGUAAAGGGCUCGUAGGCGGUUUGUCGCGUCGGGAGUGAAAACCAGGUGCUUAACACCUGGCCUGCUUUCGAUACUGGCAGACUAGAGGCAUUCAGGGGAGAACGGAAUUCCUGGUGUAGCGGUGAAAUGCGCAGAUAUCAGGAGGAACACCGGUGGCGAAGGCGGUUCUCUGGGAAUGUCCUGACGCUGAGGAGCGAAAGUGUGGGGAGCGAACAGG